GUGAUUACAUUCAACGGCCGCGGUAUCCUAACCGUGCAAAGGUAGCGCAAUCACUUGUCCCCUAAAUAGUGACUAGUAUGAAUGGCCACACGAGAAUAAACCUGUCUCUUUUAGCAAAUCAGUGAAACUGAUCUUCCAGUACAAAAGCUGGAAUAUCAACAUAAGACGAAAAGACCCUGUGGAGCUUAAAUACCACCCUACCCCCCCUA
rnacentral:rRNA from 1 species